UGACCUCUUGACCUGGUCUCCUGACCUGACCUCUUGACCUGACCUCCUGACCUGGUCUGGCUGUUUCCUCAUCGUGUAGACUGAUCUCCUGACCUGACCUCCUGACCUGGUCUGGCUGUUUCCUCAUCGUGUCGACUGACCUCCUGACCUGGUCUCCUGACCUGACCUCCUGACCGUAUCCUCAGCAUGGAGACUGACCUCCUGACCUGGUCUCCUGACCUGACCUCCUGACCUGACCUCCUGACCUCCUGACCUGACCUCCUGACCUGACCUCCUGACCUGGCCUCCUGACCUGACCUCCUGACCUGACCUCCUGACCUGACCUCCUGACCUGACCUCCUGACCUGGCCUCCUGACCUGGCCUCCUGACCUGACCUCCUGACCUGACCUCCUGACCUGACCUCCUGACCUGACCUCCUGACCUGACCUCCUGACCUGACCUCCUGACCUGACCUGACCUCCUGACCUGAACUCCUGACCUGACCUCCUGACCGUCAUACACUCCUCUUUGUGACCAAACUGGAUGUGAUCAGGCGUUGUUGAACUGUUGUGUGAUUUAGGGCUCUAUUCAAUCUGAAUGGUUGAAAGUUCAGCGUUUUACAGCAUGAUAUGAACAUUUUAAAGGCUUAGUGGAGACCUUAUACAACCUGUACCACUUCAGCCACCCAGACUGAAUAGAGCCCUUAGUGUCAGACAUUACUGUAGAGGUCAAUGGUGAACCACUUCAGCCACCCAGACUGAAUAGAGCCCUUAGUGUCAGACAUUACUGUAGAGGUCAAUGGUGAACCACUUCAGCCACCCAGACUGAAUAGAGCCCUUAGUGUCAGACAUUACUGUAGAGGUCAAUGGUGAACCACUUCAGCCACCCAGACUGAAUAGAGCCCUUAGUGUCAGACAUUACUGUAGAGGUCAAUGGUGAACCACUUCAGCCACCCAGACUGAAUAGAGCCCUUAUAGUGUCAGACGUUACUGUAGAGGUCAAUGGUGAACCACUUCAGCCACCCAGACUGAAUAGAGCCCUUAGUGUCAGACAUUACUGUAGAGGUCAAUGGUGAACCACUUCAGCCACCCAGACUGAAUAGAGCCCUUAUAGUGUCAGACAUUACUGUAGAGGUCAAUGGUGAACCACUUCAGCCACCCAGACUGAAUAGAGCCCUUAGUGUCAGACAUUACUGUAGAGGUCAAUGGUGAACCACUUCAGCCACCCAGACUGAAUAGAGCCCUUAGUGUCAGACAUUACUGUAGAGGUCAAUGGUGAACCACUUCAGCCACCCAGACUGAAUAGAGCCCUUAGUGUCAGACAUUACUGUAGAGGUCAAUGGUGAACCACUUCAGCCACCCAGACUGAAUAGAGCCCUUAGUGUCAGACAUUACUGUAGAGGUCAAUGGUGAACCACUUCAGCCACCCAGACUGAAUAGAGCCCUUAGUGUCAGACAUUACUGUAGAGGUCAAUGGUGAACCACUUCAGCCACCCAGACUGAAUAGAGCCCUUAGUGUCAGACAUUACUGUAGAGGUCAAUGGUGAACCACUUCAGCCACCCAGACUGAAUAGAGCCCUUAGUGUCAGACAUUACUGUAGAGGUCAAUGGUGAACCACUUCAGCCACCCAGACUGAAUAGAGCCCUUAGUGUCAGACAUU